rnacentral:rRNA from 1 species
CCCAGACUCCUACGGGAGGCAGCAGUGGGGAAUAUUGCACAAUGGGGGAAACCCUGAUGCAGCGACGCCGCGUGAGCGAAGAAGUAUUUCGGUAUGUAAAGCUCUAUCAGCAGGGAAGAAAAAAAUGACGGUACCUGAGUAAGAAGCACCGGCUAAAUACGUGCCAGCAGCCGCGGUAAUACGUAUGGUGCAAGCGUUAUCCGGAUUUACUGGGUGUAAAGGGAGCGUAGGCGGCGCGUUAAGUCUGAUGUGAAAACCCGAGGCUCAACCACGGGAGUGCAUUGGAAACUGGCGGGCUGGAGUGCCGGAGAGGUAAGCGGAAUUCCUAGUGUAGCGGUGAAAUGCGUAGAUAUUAGGAGGAACACCAGUGGCGAAGGCGGCUUACUGGACGGCAACUGACGCUGAGGCUCGAAAGCGUGGGGAGCAAACAGGAUUAGAUACCCUGGUAAAA